GGGUAUAUUGGUGGUAAAUCUGGAUUAGCACUGCACAUUCAUUCUUCAGUGAUUUAGUCAGCAGGACAUUUUUCAAGGUCAAGUGGUUGUAGACUCCUCUGCUGAUUUAUCCUUGAAUCAGCUCUUCUGAAGGCUCUUAUGCCAUGUGCCAAAACUCAAACAGCAUAUUUCAUACAAGCUUAAUUAGCACAGCUCCUACAGAUUGAUUCAGCAAGAAAUUUCAGAUUAUUGAAAAAUCAGCAGUUCUCACUGGGAGCAGAUCAAUAUGGUAUAUUUCUCCUCUCUUAGUAGCAUUCCAUGUUGACUUCAGGAUCUUUUAAAUGAUUUUGAAGACACUCCAGCAUUCUGCUCAUUGGUACAUCUCCAAUUUGCUAGAUUCAUUUUGUCCCCACUGUUUGUUUACAAUCCUCAAAGCAGGGGUUGAAUUCUGUUCCACUAUUUCACCUGAAGACCUACAUAUGCAGUACAGAGUGAGGGUUGUUUCCUCUAGUAUAUAUUAUCCAGAAAAUUUGCUUCUACUAUAUUAGGAACUCAAUCUUUAUUUAUAGAUCUAGGACAAAACUGAAAACUUAUCUUUUCUGUUUCAUUAAUUUUGAUAUGGUUUUGGUUCAGAGCUUGUGUUAAUGUUUGGUAUUUGUAUCAUUUUUUCGAUAAACUUGAUGUGAGCAAGUUGUAUUGCCUUGUACAAUAUCCAUACUUCUACUGUAUUAAAAAACAACUGAAAUACUACCAAUUAAUAUUCAGGCAAGUA